rnacentral:sRNA from 1 species
GAUCAUUACUGAAUUGUCAAACGGGUUGUUGCUGGCCCUCAUAGGGGGCAUGUGCACGCUCUGUUUACACAUCCACUCACACCUGUGCACCCUCUGUAGUUCUAUGGUCUGGGGGACCCUGUCUUCCUUCUGUGGUUCUACGUCUUUACACACACACUGUAAUAAAGUUUUAUGGAAUGUACAUCGCGUCUAACGCAAUACAAUACAACUUUCAGCAACGGAUCUCUUGGCUCUCGCAUCGAUGAAGAACGCAGCGAAAUGCGAUAAGUAAUGUGAAUUGCAGAAUUCAGUGAAUCAUCGAAUCUUUGAACGCACCUUGCGCCCCUUGGCUAUUCCGAGGGGCAUGCCUGUUUGAGUAUCAUGAACACCUCAACUCUCAUGGUUUGCCAUGAUGAGUUGGACUCUGGGGGUUUUGCUGGCCUGUGGUCGGCUCCUCUCAAAUUAAUCAGCCUCCCAGUGUUUGGUGGCAUCACGGGUGUGAUAAAUAUCUACGCUCGCUGUUGUCUGCCAGGUAACCUUUGGUCACAAAGGUUUGCUGGAGCUCACAGAUGUCUCUCCUCAGCGAGGACAGCUUUUUUAACGUUCGAUCUCAAAUCA